AACGAACGCUGGCGGCAGGCCUAACACAUGCAAGUCGAACGCUCCGCAAGGGGAGUGGCAGACGGGUGAGUAACACGUGGGAACCUUCCCAUCGCUACGGAAUAGCUCAGGGAAACUUGGGGUAAUACCGUAUACGCCCGGAAAGGGGAAAGUAUUUAUCGGCGAUGGAUGGGCCCGCGGCUGAUUAGCUAGUUGGUGAGGUAACGGCUCACCAAGGCGACGAUCAGUAGCUGGUCUGAGAGGACGACCAGCCACACUGGGACUGAGACACGGCCCAGACUCCUACGGGAGGCAGCAGUGGGGAAUAUUGGACAAUGGGCGCAAGCCUGAUCCAGCCAUGCCGCGUGAGUGACGAGGGUCUUCGGAUUGUAAAGCUCUUUUGGCGGGGACGAUAAUGACGGUA
rnacentral:rRNA from 1 species